rnacentral:rRNA from 1 species
AGGACGAACGCUGGCGGCGUGCUUAACACAUGCAAGUGGAGCGACGAACCAGGGCUUGCCCUGGGGCAGAGCCGCGAACGGGUGAGUAACACGUGGGUUACCUGCCUCGAUGACUGGGACAACCCGGGGAAACUCGGGCUAAUACCGGAUGUGCCCGCAAGGGGAAAGGAAGCUUCGGCCUCCGCAUCGAGAUGGGCCCGCGGCCCAUUAGCUUGUUGGUGAGGUAACGGCUCACCAAGGCUUCGAUGGGUAGCUGGUCUGAGAGGACGAUCAGCCACACUGGGACUGAGACACGGCCCAGACUCCUACGGGAGGCAGCAGUGGGGAAUCUUGCGCAAUGCGCGAAAGCGUGACGCAGCAACGCCGCGUGGGGGAAGAAGGCUUUCGGGUUGUAAACCCCUUUCAGUUGGGACGAAGCUUCGCCGGUGAAGUAGCCGGCCGGAGUGACGGUACCUUCACAAGAAGCACCGGCUAACUACGUGCCAGCAGCCGC